GAAUCUAGAGCUAAUACAUGUAUGUUCACUCUUGAUAAUUUAUUAGAAAGAGGCAUUUAUUAGAAAAAACCAGCGACUUGUGUGCUUCGGUGCACAGGUGUGAAGGUGAGUCUGGAUAACUGUGUAGAUCGAAAAGCUUUGGGCUAUCGACGUUUCAAUCAAAUUUCUGCCCUAUCAACUUGUUGGUAAGGUAGUGGCUUACCAAGGUUGCAACGGGUAACGGGGAAUCAGGGUUCGAUUCCGGAGAGGGAGCCUGAGAAACGGCUACCACAUCCAAGGAAGGCAGCAGGCGCGCAAAUUACCCAAUCCUAACGCUGGGAGGUAGUAACGAGAAAUACCAGGCUGGGGCCCUAAGGGUCUCAACUGGAAUGAGCGUAAUUUUAAACCUUCGUCGAAAGCAACCGGAGGGCAAGUCUGGUGCCAGCAGCCGCGGUAAUUCCAGCUCCGGUAGUCUACUCUAAAAUUGCUGCAGUUAAAACGCUCGUAGUUGGAUUAUGGGGUGACAUGGUGUCGCAAGUUAAAGAUUCUAGUCUACUAGCAGUCUGCUUGUGUAUCCAAGUUGCCACUUAUUCGUGGAAGCAUUGUGCUGCUUUAUUGUUUGUGCAAUGUGUUCCGCGUAGUGUGCCUUGAGUAAAAUAGAGUGCUCAAAGCAGGCCUGUGCCUGAAUAUUGAUAGCAUGGAACGAAUAGCCGUGAUGUGUAUUUGAAACAGCACGGUGCAAGCCGUGUAUGUUUUGAAUGCAUAGCACUGACCACGAUACGGUUGUUGGUUACCGUAAUCGGGUAAUGAU
rnacentral:rRNA from 1 species